GUACACUCCUGCGGGAGGCAGCAGUGGGGAAUUUUGGACAAUGGGCGAAAGCCUGAUCCAGCAAUGCCGCGUGAGUGAAGAAGGCCUUCGGGUUGUAAAGCUCUUUUGUCAGGGAAGAAACGGUGAGAGCUAAUAUCUCUUGCUAAUGACGGUAACUGAAGAAUAAGCACCGGCUAACUACGUGCCAGCAGCCGCGGUAAUACGUAGGGUGCAAGCGUUAAUCGGAAUUACUGGGCGUAAAGCGUGCGCAGGCGGUUUUGUAAGUCUGAUGUGAAAUCCCCGGGCUCAACCUGGGAAUUGCAUUGGAGACUGCAAGGCUAGAAUCUGGCAGAGGGGGGUAGAAUUCCACGUGUAGCAGUGAAAUGCGUAGAUAUGUGGAGGAACACCGAUGGCGAAGGCAGCCCCCUGGGUCAAGAUUGACGCUCAUGCACGAAAGCGUGGGGAGCAAACAGGAUUAGAAACCCGAGUAGUCCCAUGA
rnacentral:rRNA from 1 species